UCCCUGGCUCAGGAUGAACGCUGGCGGCGUGCCUAAUACAUGCAAGUCGGACGGUUCUCGCAAGAGGAUAGUGGCGAACGGGUGAGUAACGCGUUGGUGACCUGCCCCUUAGAGAGGGAUAACAGAUCGAAAGAUCUGCUAAUACCGCAUAAGCUCCGGGAGACUAGAAGUUCUGGAGGAAAGCCGAAAGGCGCUGAGGGAGGGACCUGCGUCCCAUCAGCUAGUUGGUGAGGUAACGGCCCACCAAGGCGAUGACGGGUAGGGGACCUGAGAGGGUGACCCCCCACAAUGGAACUGAAACACGGUCCAUACACCUACGGGUGGCAGCAGUAGGGAAUAUUGGGAAUGGGCGCAAGCCUGACCCAGCAACGCCGCGUGAGUGAUGAAGGCCUUCGGGUUGUAAAACUCUUUUCAUCGGGACGAGGAAGGACGGUACCGGGAAUAAGUCUCGGCA
rnacentral:rRNA from 1 species